rnacentral:rRNA from 1 species
CCUACGGGCGGCAGCAGUGAGGAAUAUUGGUCAAUGGACGAGAGUCUGAACCAGCCAAGUAGCGUGAAGGAUGACUGCCCUAUGGGUUGUAAAAUUCUUUUAUAUGGGAAUAAAAUGUUCCACGUGUGGGAUUUUGUAUGUACCAUAUGAAUAAGGAUCGGCUAACGCCGUGCCAGCAGCCGCGGUAAUACGGAGGAUCCGAGCGUUAGCCGGAUUGAUUGGGUUUAAAGGGAGCGUAGGUGGAAUGUUACGUCAGUUGUGAAAGUUUGCGGCUCAACCGUAAAAUUGCAGUUGAAACUGGCAGUCUUGAGUACAGUAGAGGUGGGCGAAAUGCGGGGUGUAGCGGUGAAAUGCUUAGAUAUCACGAAGAACUCCGAUUGCGAAGGCAGUUCACUGGACUGCAACUGACACUGAUGCUCGAAAGUGUGGGUAUCAAACAGGAUUAGAUACCCCGGUAGUC